UUCUAUUCCAUCAUUGGUUUGAAAGUGGUCACUGCCCUGGUCCUGGACGGGUUUACCUCACAGGAGAAAUUGAGAGAAACCUCAUUGGAGGACAUGAGCGGUGUUUGUUCCAUCUGUGGGCUCACAAAAGACGAGGUUUCUGGGAAAGGAAUUGACUGGGACACUCACAAACAGGAACAUAACUUGUGGUCUUACGUCAACCUGUUUUAUUACCCUAAAAAUAAUAAGAGGUCCUCAAAACUGUCAGCUAUUGAAGACGAGGUGCUAGACAAAUUUGAGAGAGGCGAAAUAUCGUUUCUCCCUCGUAAAACAUCAUUAUC